UGUAUGCAUCGGGCAGGAUCUGCUUUUAUGAUUUGUCAACAAGAUCACUCCAUAAAGUGCACUCUGAUAUGUCACAGCUGUGUAUAAUUUAUUCUGUCUAUCCACGCAGCACAGAUAAAAUUUUUAUUUGCAUCAUCUGAAAGAAAUACCAGCGUAUAAGUACAUAAGCAAAGCUCACAGGCAGGAGUCGCCGACUACAGAUGCUGCAGGGGGAUAUUGUGCAACCAAUUAAAAAGCUGAGAGACGGCUUCAUUAGCCGUGCACAUAGAUAACAAAAUCUGCACUCAGCAAACAGUGCAGUUACUCAAGUUCUUAAAAAGGUUGCACAACGCUCUGCAAGCGCUGGCCCGGCCGCCUCUCCAUUCUCCUGGGAAGUUUUAGAAAUAAUGUCUCUCGGAGAACUGGAAAGCCACGAAGGCCUUCUUUUGGCUCGAGGUGCCAGGAUAUGUGGGUGAAAAGGGAAGCGUUCGGUGGCGGGAAGGUUUCGCCUGCGGAAAACUAAACAGACCGAGAGCCUGGGUCGCAGCAGCCCCACGGAUGGAGGAUGCUCUGUCCGUGGGGUGUGGGCAGCCCCGGCUGAGCCUCCGUGAGGCCCCCGGGUCAGGGCGUGGAGCCUGCCGUGGCCGGCCCAGUAGUAUGGCACGCCCAGUGGUUCCCCUAGAAGCUGGGAUGUCGCGCACUGUCUCCCUCCUGAGACAGACAGCUGCCCGGCCUCAGCCUCCUAGUGUCUGUGGCCUGCACGGAAACCUUCGGGGCCUUUCAUUGAGAUCACCCUGUCCCCACCCUUGCUGGGGCUGUGGCAGGCGACACAGGGCCCUGGUCUUAGAGCCCCCCCUCCCCCCGUCUCAUUGGACAGCCGGCCGCACAGUGCACUGCUCAGCCGUUCAACCAUUCACUUGUGCUGGGAGCUUGCGACUUGCCGGGAGCAGCUUGUAAUUCAGCUGGUUUGUUUGGGGAGGGGAUUGCCAAGGCCAUUGCUGGCCACUUCACCUGACUUUUAGAAGAUGACAAGGCCGGCCAUGGGGACUCUUGACACGUGGAGCGGUUUCCAGUGGUGGAGGGGAAAGUUGGGAUGGGUCUCCCAAUUGCACUCCAUAAUUGCUGGUAUUUCGCAGCUGCCUUAAUCCAAUUCCAAUGACAAGCCAGCCGGCUCAGAAGUUCAGUAAUUGCCCUCUCCAGGCUGGCUCUGCAGGGGCUGUUUAACUGGAUCAGAACCCACUCUGUUUCUGUAAAUUCCAAAUGUGAAUCUCAGGGGUCCUGAGCAGGAGGCCCAGGCCUUGGCGAAGCUUCGAGAACAACUCCAUUGGACCCAGCUGCUCCUCCCUCCCACAGCUCCAGCUCGGCAGGGGUCUGUGGUUCUCCACCUCAAGGCUCAGCUUCAGUAGCCUCACCCCUGUCCCUCAAAGUACUCUUUCCAGCCACUCCUUUGUCAGCCUGAUUUUGUAAAGAUUUUUAAAUUUUGAAAUCCUGGGGCUGGUGCUGUGAUGUAGCAGGUUAAGCCUCCGCCUGUGGCGCCAGCAUCCAUAUGGGCACUGGUUGGAGUCCCCCCUGCUCCUCUUCUGAUCCAGCUCUCUGCUGUGGCCUGGGAAAGCAGUGGGAGAUGGCUCAAGUGCUUGGGUCCCUGCACCCACAUGGGAGACUGUGGGGAGCAACUCGGACUAGACUGUUACUGGAAUUAAGACUUAUUCUAUGCAUCUGCUCUCCCACAAUAUGGCGCUGGGAGAGGAGAAAACAGCUUCUACGCAGCUGCCUCCAGUUCAGCCAAUAAACUGUAGGACUUGCUCCUGAUUGGAGGAGAGCAGCGUACUCGACGUGUGGGCAGCCGAGUUGGGAUUGGCAGAGGAGGGCUAUAAAGGAGGAGAGAGACAACAUGCACCAGGAACAUCUAAGGGGAACAUCUAGCUGAAGGAACACCCGUGCAGCCCCCGAGAAAGCCGGCCGGCGGUGUGCCGCUCCCCUGCGGAAGUGGGGAAUGUGGCAGGGGGAACUGCCCUUCCACGGAGGUGGAAGGGACAGUAGCCAACCCGGGAAGAACCAGCAGCAAACCCGGGGAGGGCCGAGCAGACGAAAGAACAGCGCAGGGUCCUGUGUCGUUCCUCCACGAAGAGGGGGAGCGACAGGAGACCUGGAAGGAGACCUGGAAGAAGCUCCUGGCUUCAUAUUGGCCCAGCUCUGGCCAUUGUGGCCAUUUGUGGAGUGAACCAGCAGAUGGAAGACUUCUCUCUCUCUUUCUGUAACUCUGCCUUUCAAAUAAAUAAUUACAUCUUCAAAACAGUUAAUCACCUUUGACGUAUAGGAAGGUCAUGGUGUCCUGUGGUCCUGGCUUCCUAACACAGGCUGCUCUUGGAACUGGCCGCAUUCCUUGGGACAUUUCUCUCCCAGGGCAGGAAUGCAAGUCACAGUGGUGGCUUUACCUGCACCCUGCCCUCAGAUGCACGGCGCCCAGAGAGCCGAGGGGCAGAGCUGGGUUUAUGGGGUGAAGGUCCCAGCAGUGCAAGCAUAGGCGGUUGGCUCCAGGUGGCGUUCGGAGGGGCCGGCCUGAAGCAGAAAGAACGGGCUUCUGGAAUGGGCGCGUCAGGUGCAGGGCAGCACAGCGCAGGCGGCUCAGGGUGCAGCAGGGAGUCCGCGAGUCAGCAGUGAGUCGGUCACCACGCGGCGCGGGGAGGUGCGCAAGUUGCUCCACCCCCAAGCCCUUUGCACAAAGGCAGGAGCGCAGCCCAGGGAGGAGGUUCACGGCCGCGGGACCUCCAUGUCGCUGGUGGCCCAGACGGCCCCGUCCCUGCAGCUCCGGGCACCCAGACGGCCCGGUCCCUCCAGCUCCGGGCACCCAGACGGCCCGGUCCCUGCAGCUCCGGGCACCCAGACGGCCCAGUCCCUGCAGCUCCGGGCACCCAGACGGCCCGGUCCCUGCAGCUCCGGGCACCCAGACGGCCCGGUCCCUGCAGCUCCGGGCAUCCAGACGGCCCGGUCCCUGCAGCUCCGGGCACCCAGACGGCCCGGUCCCUCCAGCUCCGGGCACCCAGACGGCCCGGUCCCUGCAGCUCCGGGCACCCAGACGGCCCGGUCC